rnacentral:rRNA from 1 species
UGGGAAUCUUGCGCAAUGGGCGAAAGCCUGACGCAGCCAUGCCGCGUGAGUGAUGAAGGCCUUAGGGUUGUAAAACUCUUUCACCGGGGACGAUAAUGACGGUACCCGGAGAAGAAGCCCCGGCUAACUUCGUGCCAGCAGCCGCGGUAAUACGAAGGGGGCUAGCGUUGCUCGGAAUUACUGGGCGUAAAGGGCGCGUAGGCGGAUCAGCAAGUUGGGGGUGAAAGCCCGGGGCUCAACCUCGGAAUUGCCUUCAAAACUGCUGAUCUAGAGUACGGGAGAGGUGUGUGGAACUCCGAGUGUAGAGGUGAAAUUCGUAGAUAUUCGGAAGAACACCAGUGGCGAAGGCGACACACUGGCCCGUUACUGACGCUGAGGCGCGAAAGCGUGGGGAGCAAACAGGACUAGAUACCCUGGUAGUCCACGCUGUAAGCGAUGAUUGCUAGUUGUCGGCAGGCAUGCCUGUCGGUGACGCAGCUAGCGCAUUAAGCAAUCCGCCUGGGGAGUACGGUCGCAAGA